GAUGAACGCUAGCGGCAGGCUUAACACAUGCAAGUCGAGGGGUAAGGUAGCAAUAUCUGAGACCGGCGCACGGGUGCGUAACGCGUAUGCAAUCUACCUUUCACAGAGGGAUAGCCCAGAGAAAUUUGGAUUAAUACCUCAUAGUAUAAUGAUUUGGCAUCAAGACAUUAUUAAAGUCACAACGGUGAAAGAUGAGCAUGCGUCCCAUUAGCUAGUUGGUAUGGUAACGGCAUACCAAGGCGACGAUGGGUAGGGGUCCUGAGAGGGAGAUCCCCCACACUGGUACUGAGACACGGACCAGACUCCUACGGGAGGCAGCAGUGAGGAAUAUUGGACAAUGGGCGCAAGCCUGAUCCAGCCAUGCCGCGUGCAGGAUGACGGUCCUAUGGAUUGUAAACUGCUUUUGCACAGGAAGAAACAACGCUACGUGUAGCGUCUUGACGGUACCUGUGAGAAUAAGGAUCGGCUAACUCCG
rnacentral:rRNA from 1 species